GCGACACGUGACCUGCCUGUGACCGAGACCUGCCUGUGACCGUGACCUGCCUGAGCUGACCAGUUGUGGAUGAAAAUAAUAGUGACGGUGAUGGUGGUGAUGGUGAUGGUGGCGUUGACGGAAGCGAUGGAAAAGGAAAAGAAAAAUGAAGAAGGAAAUGGCGGAGGCUCUGGCGAUGAUGGUUUCCUAAUGGCCACGUCAAAAGAGGGUCGACUGCACUACGAUUUACUGUUGAGGGGAGCACAAACGCCCAGCGGAGGGCGAGGCAAGAUGGAAGUGUACCGAGGCUCACUAGUUAAAACAAUAAACAGUCUGGAAAUCAA